GGCACGGAUUUGGCUUUCAGUGGUAGCCUGGAAACAUACACUCCCAGGUCUUUCUCUGCCUCUGUGGUGGAUAGUGGAGUGUUUCCCAUGUGGUAUUGGUGUGCUGGAUAUCCCUUCACUGGUAGCCUGGUAACAUACACUCCCAGGUCUUUCUCUGCCUCUGUGGUGGAUAGUGGAGUGUUUCCCAUGUGGUAUUGGUGUGCUGGAUAUCCCUUCACUGGUAGCCUGGUAACAUACACUCCCAGGUCUUUCUCUGCCUCUGAGGUGGAUAGUGGAGUGUUUCCCAUGUGGUAUUGGUGUGCUGGAUAUCCCUUCACUGGUAGCCUGGAAACAUACACUCCCAGGUCUUUCUCUGCCUCUGUGGUGGAUAGUGGAGUGUUUCCCAUGUGGUAUUGGUGUGCUGGAUAUCCCUUCACUGGUAGCCUGGUAACAUACACUCCCAGGUCUUUCUCUGCCUCUGUGGUGGAUAGUGGAGUGUUUCCCAUGUGGUAUUGGUGUUCUGGAUAUCCCUUCACUGGUAGCCUGGUAACAUACACUCCCAGGUCUUUCUCUGCCUCUGUGGUGGAUAGUGGAGUGUUUCCCAUGUGGUAUUGGUGUGCUGGAUAUCCCUUCACUGGUAGCCUGGUAACAUACACUCCCAGGUCUUUCUCUGCCUCUGUGGUGGAUGGUGGAGUGUUUCCCAUGUGGUAUUGGUGUGCUGGAUAUCCCCUCCCAAGGUACAGGACUUUACAUUUUCUUCAUUGAAUUGUAGCAACCACUUUUGAUCCAUUCCUGUAGCUUGGUGAUGUCUUCUGGUAGCAAAUCCACAG